GAGGUAUCUGUCACUUCUUCUUCUUGAGGUUCCAGACAAAUGAAUAAUUCUAAAGUUUCAGGGAAGAAAGCCUGUUUCUUUUUUCCACUUAUUGUUGGCCUCAUUGAAGAAAGGACAGGAUCGGAAGACAAAAGUAACAUAUUAAAAACAUCCCUGUUCGAAUCUUGUCUCGUUUUUUUUGUGAGUGAUGCUCUCUGAACAUUCUGAAGUCUUUGUUGCGUGCCUCGGAUGCUUCUUCAGAGAGAUGACCAAUCGGUACAAUAUCAUUUUGUGCAAUGAUAUCUGUGCCAUGGAUCAGCAAUUUAUGCACUGUUGGGGGCAUCUUAUACCAACUGUAAAAUUUAAUAUAGUCGUCCGCUGUAUCUUUACAAUAGGCUUUAAACUUUUCAGUGUCAAUUACUUCACCUGAUGUGACAGCUUGCAGAAUUACAGCAAAUCUCCGAAUCAGUUGUUUGUCCAGUCCAGUGAUAUUAGCUGUUUUUUCGGGAUCUUCGAAAAAUUUUCGUGCUGUGUUUCCAUCAUUCGUUGUUCCAGAACCUUGUUUUACUACAUCGACUAAAAGAUUUAGUUCGUCUUUGAAGCGAUCUUGAAUAAUCUUCUUCCGUAGUUCCAUCUUCUGUUUAAGGCCCCUCUUUUCAGUUGCAUAAAAUUCUUUAAAGUCCAAUCGAUAUGCUAUAUGAAGAAGGCAUUCCAUGGUAUUGAUCCGGACAUGUAAAGAUAAUAGUCCAAAUUCAUAUAAGGUAGUAUCAGGCACUGUUUUUUUCGAAACUUUGUCUAUAUUGUUCAUUUCAUUAGGCUUAGCUAAACAUAAAACGCAUGUUGCACUUGACUUAGCCUGUGGAAAGAUAUGUGCAGAUUUUGCCAUCUACCAUCGUCAUCUUCAGCUUAUGUGUCACUUUGUUGUUCCUAUGUUCUGUGGGCACUAGGUCUUUGAUUUCAUCGUCCAUUUUUUUCUUUUGAGCUAGAACAAAGUUUUUGUUCUCUUUAGUAAAUGUAAAUUGCUUUGGACGACAAUAUGAAGCAGAACAUGGUUUUGGAUUUGUCCAAAUUGUCUUGUCGCCAGAGAUAAGCUUUAGUGGCACUAAAGUCGUCAUAAAAAUGCUUGAGUCAUCUUGUUCACUGCCACCAAUUUUCUGCUUGUACCGGCUUUGACUGGAAGCACCGUCAAAACCCCAUUUAGAAAUUAAACUUAACUGCAUGUCUUCUACUUGUUCCUGUAAACUAUUCAAAAUUCGUGUGACUGUUAAAUCUAGCAAAGCUUGCAAUGUUAUCUCACACGAAAAAUCCGUUACAGUAACAGAUUGCGUUGGUGGAUAGCAAUCUAAUUUAGCCUUCUGCACCUUAUAAUACGAUGGGUAUAAAUUUGAAGCACCCUCUCUGAUGGCUGUCUCUCGUAAAGUUAUGUAUUGCCAUUUACUUAACUUCAAAGAAAUCAGUAGACCUAAUGCCUUCUCUGCUGUAAGUGACGCGGUAGAACCAGGCUUCUUGAUGAUUGCAGUGAAUUUCUGGACUGCUUCUGGGUUCUUUAACAUAUAUUCUAUCAAUGAUGCAAUUUCACCCCGACCAUCUUCUUUUAAAAGCUUUACAGCUGAAAACACCACUUCGUCUGUGUUUUCAACGCUUAGAUCGCUGCAUCUGUUUUUUUCUGCUUCGUUCCGAUGUCUUCGAAUGGUUUACGUUUCAAUCGCGUCAUGGUUCCAGUUGAUGAUGUGCUUAGUGUAUGACUGCUGGAAUGAGAUCACUGCUGGUUGAUGCGUGGGCUAACUGAAGAUCCAACUGAAGAUAAAAGCAACUUGGCCAGUCAAUAUUUGCUUCUAACCAAGAUCCAUACAUUGUUCUAAAUUUUUCUGUGUUCCGUUGGCUUUUCUUCCAUCUGUCAGUAGCAGCUCUUGUAAAUCUUCGGCAAAAUUCUUUCAAGGUGUCACGAUCUUCUUCUGAUAGGUUAAGGUUUGAUUUAGUUAGCACUAUUUCAAACAAAGCUUCGUGAUUUAAACUAGAUCCUUGAGAUUUUAGGAUAACAAACAAGUCCAAGUUCGUAAUAAGACUGUCCAUGGUUUAUGGUCGUGUAAGUUAGCGGUUAAGAAGCUCAAGAUGAACUAAAAUAUAAAAUGUACCCCUUACCUAUUUAUUGCUAGUACUAAUGAACACCACCAUUC